rnacentral:lncRNA from 1 species
CCAAUUCUUUGUCACAGUGUCUGUAGAACAUGUACACUGCAACACCAUAUUGUUCGGUAAAGUCGUAGGAUAGAUGAGAUAGAAGGAAUGAUAGUAUCCUAUCCUAGUAAGCAGAUAAACUGCAGCAUAUCCCCGUUCUGGAUUAAACUUAGGUCCAUGGUUUUACUUCGACUCAAUAACAAUUCAAUUCUACGCGAAUUGCGGUUUGUGUUCGACGGGAUCGGGCUGGAGCCUGUGAUUCGGAUUCCCGACGCGGCGACGCGAGAGUACAUUUGUUGGCUACACCGAUCGGUGACCAUAGAUGAAGAGUAGGAUUUCGUAGCCUACUAGCCUGACUAACCCUAGUUCACUCGAGUGAGCAGAGACGUACCGGAACGUCCUCGCCGUAGCCGUCUGUCGGUCUGUGCACCCCCGCUCCCUGCCCCUGUGAAGCCUGCUUCACACCCGGCUAUCACCUACCACCGACGUCACCGGAAUCAACCUUUAUGACACCAUGAAAGUACAGAUCAAGAAUGGGAAAUAAAAGAUUUCAGAAGAUGUUGUACCUUUCACUGAAGCGAGGCUUCUUCGAGGCAGCUACGGUUGCUUUAGCUUUACACCGACGACACCGACGACGCCGACCAACAAAUCCGCCAAGCUCCGAGAGUGAUACGUCCGUAGACAAGCUACAUCGUCUGAGCCUUUUCCAUCUUCACCGACCUUCAGAUCCGGCCGGAGGUGUCCUCCAGGAAAGCGCCUGCUGCGGUCUCCUCCACCGCCAGCAACCCACCGGCGGAACCCUAGAUCCACAGCGACACUGGAUCUGGCGACGGCUACCGGCUCCGACACCGAUGCCCUCGGCACUUUCGUCGUCGCGGUCACGCACAGGGACUUCGCUGCCAAGGAAGAGGGGUGAGCCGGAAGGAGCGAGAAGAGGUGGCCAGCGUCUGCUAGAAGUCUCCAGAGGCGGAGGAAGCGAGGGAGCGAGAGUCGUAUUUCGCAUGUUACCGAGACCGUGAUUCGUGAUGAACAUAGGCCAUUGAUUCACGAUCGAGCGGCUUCAAGAAUUUGAACCGACGUGGAUAGCG